rnacentral:rRNA from 1 species
CCCUUAGAUGUUCUGGGCCGCACGCGCGCUACACUGACGGAUUCAACGAGCUUACAACCUUGGCCGAAAGGUCUGGGUAAUCUCCAAAAUCCGUCGUGAUGGGGAUAGAUUAUUGCAAUUAUUAAUCUUCAACGAGGAAUGCCUAGUAAGCGCAAGUCAUCAGCUUGCGUUGAUUACGUCCCUGCCCUUUGUACACACCGCCCGUCGCUCCUACCGAUUGAAUGGUCCGGUGAAGCGUUUGGACUAUGGUUUUCUGAUGGUCCGCCGUUGGAUUACCGCGGGAAGUUCGUUAAACCUUAUCAUUUAGAGGAAGGAGAAGUCGUAACA